AUGGCUGUCGUCAGCUCGUGUCGUGAGAUGUUGGGUUAAGUCCCGUAACGAGCGCAACCCCUAUCCUUAUUUGCCAGCGGAUUAUGCCGGGAACUCUAAGGAGACUGCCGGUGACAAACCGGAGGAAGGCGGGGAUGAGGUCAAGUCAUCAUGGCCCUCAUGGGGUGGGCUAGAAACGUGCUACAAUGGGAAGUACAAAGGGCUGCAAACCCGCGAGGGUAAGCGAAUCCCAAAAAACUUCUCGUAGUCCGGAUAGGAGUCUGCAACUCGACUCCUUGAAGUCGGAAUCGCUAGUAAUCGCGAAUCAGAAUGUCGCGGUGAAUACGUUCCCGGGCCUUGUACACACCGCCCGUCACAUCAUGGAAGUGGGUUGCACCAGAAGUAGCUAGUCUAACCUUCGGGAGGACGGCUACCACGGUGUGGUUCAUGACUAGGAUGAAGUCGUAACAAGGUAGCCGUAGGGGAACCUGCGGCUGGAUCACCUCCUUAACCUAAAAGAUGGUCGUCGUCUCGUCGAGCGACCGAGCUUCGCUUUGCGAAUCUCGAGAAGCUAGAUGAGACCGAUACACCAUCCAGCCGAGGACUCGAUCUUUACGCACGAGCUGGAAUCUCUUCGGAGAUUUUAUGGCGGCGCUUAGCGUCGCCCCCACACGAAUGGUUUAUUCACAUACAUUGGGCCUACGCGAGCGGGUCUGUAGCUCAGUUGGUUAGAGCGCACCCCUGAUAAGGGUGAGGUCGGUGGUUCAAAUCCACCCAGACCCACCACUUAUACGCACCGCACAGUAGCCAAUCCGAGGGGCCGUAGCUCAGCUGGGAGAGCACCUGCCUUGCACGCAGGGGGUCAGGAGUUCGAUCCUCCUCGGCUCCACCAUCUGCGGCUCUAUCGUCAGAGUCGGAGUUCGGAGUGUAGAUUGUUGCAUUGGAUGGGGCUUCCCUCGCGUUGCAACGCGCAACCGCUAGAGCGCUAAUAUCGAAGCGAAAUAAUGACGUUUUGAUAUUGGCGUUUGGUCCUGCGAAGGAUUGAAGCCCGCUCUUUAACAAUUUGAAACUGAUGAAGCCGUGUUUUUCACGUAAGCGUGAAAGACACUCCGCUCUGCCGGCAAGUAUGCCGGUGAGAGCAAAAAUUGUUCGAUGUGCCUGGGAUAGCAUGAGUGCUAUCCCGCAGUCCGCCGACCGCGGCGGUACUGCUGGUAUAUCCGGCGAAAGUUUAACGACGAUGAGCUUAGCGGACACCUCGUUCGUUGGGUUAUAUGGUCAAGUGAACAAGCGCAUCUGGUGGAUGCCUUGGCAGCUGAAGGCGAUGAAGGACGUUGUAGCUUGCGAUAAGCCUCGGGGAGCCGGCAAACAGGCUUUAAUCCGAGGAUUUCCGAAUGGGGAAACCCGG
rnacentral:sRNA from 1 species